CAGGUUUCACAAAAGAAAACUAUUUUUAAAAAUGAAUGUUUCUACUCUUUUAUUAUCAAAUUAACCCCAGGAUUUUAAAGUAGUGCAAGGUAUUAUUACAUGAGAAUGACCUACUAGUAAUUAAAAAAUUAUUAAUUACUCCACAUUUUUAAUAAUAGGUUAAAAGCCAGGGAUGCAAUGUUUUCUCUAGAAGAAAAAAAUGAUCAUUUGUUUAAUGCUGUCCUUUAUUCCCAGCAUGCCUUUCCCACUACUAAUAAAUGAGAUGCUAGAAGCAUUCUGUCUCUUCUGAAAUCUACUGGCACUCUGUCUAGACUUCCUUCUUAGAACAUAUUAUGUAGCUGUGCACAGCCUGAACUCCCCUCUAGACCAAGCUGACUGAGCACAGGCCCUGAGGGUGAUACCUGCUGAAUCUCCCCCAUGUGCAUACCUUGCUAGAAUGCCUCAGUAAAUUCCUGCUGAAUGAAAAUGGGAUUAAAGGAAUCGGUAUCCUGACAAAAAGCAUCUACUUACGAGUAAACUCUAGAUGCUAUCUCAUUUCCCUAUAUUGCAGGAGCACUGUGUUGCAUCUUUUAGUUAACAAUAUAAAUUAAGUUAAAUGAUUAUUUUUUGCAAAGAUUUUUUUAAAAUCUAGUAUGAACUAAAGCCAUACUCAGCCCCUAA
rnacentral:lncRNA from 1 species